GACGAACGCUGGCGGCGUGCCUAAUACAUGCAAGUCGAACGCAUUUUCUUUCACCGUAGCUUGCUACACCGAAAGAAAAUGAGUGGCGAACGGGUGAGUAACACGUGGGUAACCUGCCCAUCAGCGGGGGAUAACACUUGGAAACAGGUGCUAAUACCGCAUAAUUCCAUUUACUGCAUGGUAGAUGGAUGAAAGGCGCUUUUGCGUCACUGAUGGAUGGACCCGCGGUGCAUUAGCUAGUUGGUGGGGUAACGGCCUACCAAGGCUGCGAUGCAUAGCCGACCUGAGAGGGUGAUCGGCCACACUGGGACUGAGACACGGCCCAGACUCCUACGGGAGGCAGCAGUAGGGAAUCUUCGGCAAUGGACGCAAGUCUGACCGAGCAACGCCGCGUGAGUGAAGAAGGUUUUCGGAUCGUAAAACUCUGUUGUUAGAAAAGAACAAGGAUGGGAGUGGAAAGUUCAUCCCUUGACGGUAUCUAACCAGAAAGCCACGGCUAACUACGUG
rnacentral:rRNA from 1 species